ensembl:lncRNA
CCCCCCCCCAUUUUGAAUAAACCAUUGGCUUAUUUCUUCAGACUGUGAUAAAAAAUAGGCAUACAGGAAAUGAAUCUGAUCAAUGAGGGAAGAACAAUUGUUUUUACCAGAUCACUUUUCUGAACAUGGCUGCAUUCCAAUCCCUUUCCAAAGACUGAACUCAUAUAUCCACUGUGGAAAAGAAAUGUUCUUAUUCAUGAGUGUGAGGAUUCAUACUUACCAUGCUGCAGUUUUGCCAGAGGACUGGUGAUUGUCAUACAGCAAGCAGUUCAAACCAGGAAUCCCCCUGGGCUGCUCACCAGUUCCCAUGAAUAUCUCAGCACCUGGUCGGAUCCAACAUCCAAACAGACAAAGCAAAACAAUGCAGAAUGUUGUAGCAGGAAUGAUAAGUGUGACAGUGGAUGUGUGAAAUCCAUAAAAAUGCCAAAUGAGUGGCUGUGCUGGGAGGGAAUGGAUGAAGCAGUAGCAGGGUGGAAAAGUGAACUGAGAUUAGAGUCCAAGGCCAAUUGCACAGGAAGGAUGGAGAGGGGUGAGGGGGAGUUCAGAGGGCAGACAGGCAGUGUGAAGGAAAGAACAACUUCCAGAUGUAGAAAAUUGCAGGGAGGAGACCAAAAGGAA